UACGUAGGGGGCAAGCGUUGUCCGGAUUUAUUGGGCGUAAAGAGCGUGUAGGCGGCUUGACAGGUCUGCUGUGAAAACUCGAGGCUCAACCUCGAGAUGUCGGCGGAAACCAUCUGGCUAGAGUCCGGAAGAGGAGAGUGGAAUUCCUGGUGUAGCGGUGAAAUGCGUAGAUAUCAGGAGGAACACCUAUGGCGAAGGCAGCUCGCUGGGACGGCACUGACGCUGAGACGCGAAAGCGUGGGGAGCAAACAGG
rnacentral:rRNA from 1 species